rnacentral:rRNA from 1 species
CCAAUAGCGUAUAUUAAAGUUGUUGCAGUUAAAAAGCUCGUAGUUGAAUUUCGGGGUUAGUAGGUCGGUCAUGCCUCUGGUAUGUACUGGUCUCACUGAUUCCUCCUUCCUGAUGAACCUUAAUGCCAUUAAUUUGGUGUUUUGGGGAAUUUGGACUGUUACUUUGAAAAAAUUAGAGUGUUUAAAGCAAGCUAACGCUUGAAUACAUUAGCAUGGAAUAAUGAAAUAGGACGUUCGAUCCUAUUUUGUUGGUUUCUAGGAUUGACGUAAUGAUUAAUAGGGAUAGUUGGGGGCAUUAGUAUUCAAUUGUCAGAGGUGAAAUUCUUGGAUUUAUUGAAGACUAACUACUGCGAAAGCAUUUGCCAAGGAUGUUUUCAUUAAUCAAGAACGAAAGUUAGGGGAUCGAAGACGAUCAGAUACCGUCGUAGUCUUAACCAUAAACUAUGCCGACUAGGGAUCGGAUGAUGUUAAUUUUUUAAUGACUCAUUCGGCGCCUUAUG